rnacentral:misc_RNA from 1 species
GUCCGUCCGUUUCCCUACCAAAGAGUCGUAGUAUGACUGGGCAGCAACCUUACUGAUUUCCACGUUCGUUUCCUCAGGGCAGUACUCAUCAUCCAGCCAUUUGUGCAGCGUCACCCUAAGCCACUCUGAUUCCUGGAGAGCCUUGGAAGGGAGCAACCAAUUGUCGGGAACACGUAGGUCUUGAACUUGCGCUUCGGGGUCAUCUUUAUCGUCUUCUUGGCUGCUUUGUGGAUGUGAAGGAGACUGAUAUCUGAAAAUGGUGGUCGAAAAUUGGGGUUGUUUGGGAGGCCGAAUCGGUUUUGAAUUAGAGGUGACAGGGAAAUGAAGCUCAACUAUAACAAUUGGGGGACUAAGACGGGUAAUUGAGGAAGGCAAGAUAAGAUUGUGGCAUUUUGAGGUUGAUAGUCGGCAUAGGUUCAUGGUUUCGAAUUUUAUUAUCCUUUGGCGGUGGCGGGAAGGCGAAAUGAGAGCAUUCAGUAUUCCAAAU